rnacentral:siRNA from 1 species
UAGUCAUAGCUUCUUGAUGAGU